CAGGGAAUAUUAGUUAAUGUGCGAAAGCGCGAACUAGCAACGCCGCGUGUGCGAUGAAGGCCUUCGGGUUGUAAAGCACUUUUCCAAGGGACGAGGAAGGACGGUACCUUGGGAAUAAGCAUCGGCUAACUACGUGCCAGCAGCCGCGGUAAAACGUAGGAUGCAAGCGUUAUCCGGAUUUACUGGGCGUAAAGCGCGUGUAGGCGGUUCGGUAAGUUGGAUGUGAAAGCUCCCGGCUUAACUGGGAGAGGUCGUUCAAUACUGCCGAGCUAGAGGAUGGUAGAGGAAGGUGGAAUUCCGAGUGUAGUGGUGAAAUGCGUAGAUAUUCGGAGGAACACCAGUGGCGAAAGCGGCCUUCUGGACCAUUUCUGACGCUCAUACGCGAAAGCUAGGGUAGCAAACGG
rnacentral:rRNA from 1 species